rnacentral:lncRNA from 1 species
AAUCAGAGUCCACAUAUGUUCGGGGGAGGGACCCCAGAAGGCGGCUGACAGUAUUCCUUUAGCCAGAAAUCCCUUCAGGGAAGAGAAAGGUGCUCCCCUUUGCCUGCUUUUAUACUACAGACUGUUUCCAACUCCAGCUAGAAGUGACUAUUGCCGAUUAUGCUAAUCAGUGGCGACAAGCUCCCUUUGACUGCUCACUUCUCCAGUGAGGCUUCAAGCUUCUAGGCAUCAAGAUUAGUAAGGCUGUCUUCUGGGUGGGCCAGUUUGUUUCUCAGUGACACGAAAACAUUGCCUGGGGUGUGCACUGGUAUUUUCCAGAAAAUAUUUCAAGCAGAAUAUACUUAUUUUCCAGUUUUGAAAACAACUAGAUUGCCCAUCUCCAUUUCUCUCUAUCAUCUACUGUAUUAUUCUAUGGACAACUGCCACCCUAAUAAGCAAUUGUCAGCAUCUUUGCCACAUGUUUGGAGGCCUGAUAUCAGUUUGUCACCAUGUACUGUAUUUUUCCUGUCUGGUUGGGAGCAGAGAGCAGGUGCUUGGAAAUCCUGCUCUCAUCCAUUCUCCACACAUGACUGGUCUAUGUUCAGCUGAAUUAUGGUGAAUAUCACUUGAGAACUGCUGUAGUAACUGCACUUCAAGACCUGCCUGUAAUCUUGCCCUGCUAUUUGAUAUUCAUUCAGCAAAGCACAUAAAUGAAAUUAUUAAAACUAUUUAAGGACUCA